rnacentral:tRNA from 1 species
GCCCUUGUAGUUCAACGGAUAGAAUAGAAGUUUCCUAAACUUUAGAUAGGGGUUCGAUUCCCCUCAGGGGUA